rnacentral:rRNA from 1 species
UUGCACUUAUAUUGUGACGGUUUAGGUCAGAAAGUUAAUCUUUAGAAGUCAUCAAUUUACUUUGGUAAAAAGUGUUUUGAUGAUACUAAGCACAAGGUAAUGGGAAUGUUGGGAGUUGCAAAUGAAUCAUUCCAUGAUAAGUAUCUCGGAAUGCCUACUCAUGUCGGCAGGUCGCCAAAUAGGACAUUCAAAUUUCUGAAUGACAAAGUUUGGCAGCGCAUCAUUAGCUUGUCAGAUAGGCCUCCUUCUCGGGCAGGAAAAGAAGUUUUGGUGAAAUCUGUGAUUCAGGCUAUUCCAACAUAUAUAAUGAGUUGUUUCUGA